rnacentral:rRNA from 1 species
UUAGGUGGCUAUAGCAGUGGGGUCCCACCUCUUCCCAUCCCGAACAGAGAAGUUAAGCCCACUAGCGCCAAUGGUACUGUGAAAACGGGAGAGUAGGUCGCUGCCUUUC